GACAGAGGCCCCAAGCGUUAGGCGGAAUCACUGGGCUUAAAGCGUGUGUAGGCGGACGCCUAAGUGUCUUGUGAAAUCCCACGGCUCACCCGUGGAACUGCUGGGCAUACUGGGCGUCUUGGGCCAACUAGGGCGAGCCGGAACAAGCGGUGGAGCGGUGAAAUGCGUAGAUAUCGCUUGGAACGCCGAAGGUGAAACAGGCUGCUGGGUGUGCCGACGCUGAGACACGAAGCCAGGGAGCAAACGGG
rnacentral:rRNA from 1 species